GGCUGCAACUGCAGCAUAUGGAGUUCCCAGGCUAGGGGUCCAGUUGGAGCUGUAGCUGCCGGCCUACACCACAGCCACAGCAAUGCCAGAUCCUUAACCCACAGAGCAAGGCCAGGUAUCAAACCUGCAUCCUCAUGGAUGCUAGCUGGGUUCGUUAACCGCUGAGACACGAUGGGAACUCCAACAUAUCGAUUUUAAAAUAAAGAAAAAUCCAUAUUACAUAAAAUCUAAGUAUGAUCCAUUUUUAUUUACUUUUUUUUGGUCAGCUUCAGUGAUGCACAAUUUGCAUUUUUCAAAAAUUACCGAUUUUAAGUACACAAUUUGGUAAGCUUUGACAAAUGGAUCCAGAUGUGUGACCACCAUCACAACCACGACAAAGAACAUUUCCAUUAUCACAAGUUCUCUCAUACAUUUUUGUAAAACCUCUUCACCCUAGUCCCUGGCUUUGGCGACUGCUGAUUUGCUUUCUAUCACUAUGGUUUUGCCUUUUCUAGAAUUUCAUAUAGUGGAAAUUAUACAACAUGAAGACUCCUGCACCUGGCUCUUUCACCUUUUAGAUGUAUUCAUAAUAUUGUAUGUAUCCAUAGUUUAUUCGUUUUAUUGUUGAAUACUAGUUCAUUAUAUGUAUACACCACUCUAUGUUUAUCUAUUCACUGUUUAUGAAACAACAUUUGGGUUGUUUCCAGUUUGGGGCUACUAUGACUAUUUGGAUGCAAGUUUUUAUGUUUUCAUUUCUCUUUGUUUAGUACCCAGAAGUGGAAUUAGUGAGAUAUACGCUAGGCAUGUGUUUAACUUUUUAGGAAGGUAGCAAACUGUUUUCCAAAGUAGCUACAUAUUUUUGCAUUCCUACAAGUAAUGCAUGAGCGCUCCAGUUUUGUGAUUACACAAUGAUACAGUGCUUUAUCCCUUAAAAAUUGUAUUUCAUUGUCUCCCUAAAAAGCCUUCUUAGGAGUUCCUGUUGUGGCUUAGCGGAUUAAGAACCUGACUAGUAUCUUGAAAAUGUGGGUUCGAUCCCUGGGCUCGAUCCUGGGCCAGCUCAUUGCCAUGAGCUAUGACGUAGGUCACAGAUGUGGUUCAGAACCGGUGUUGCUGUGGCUAUGGCAUGGGCCAGCAGUGGCAACCCCAAUUUGACCCCUAGUCCAGGAACUUCCACAUGCCAUAGGAGCAGCCCUUAAAAGAAAACAAAUAAAUAAAAAGCCCUCUAAAAGCAGAAUGUAAAUAUUCUGACCAAGUGUAUAUGCAUAUGUUACAUAUAUAUAUUAUACGUGCGUGUGCAUGCAAGGUGAUGUAGAUGUUAAUUAAGUAGAUGGGAGGAAUUCUUUCAAAAUGUAUACAUAUAUCAAAUCAUCAUGAUGUACAUUUUAAAUCUCUUAUAAUUUUGUCAAUUAUACUCCAAUAAAGCUGAAGUUUUUUUAAUUUGAUCAAUUUUUUAAAAAGGUUUUUUGAAAAGUUCUUUAAUUUAUUAUUUAGGCAUAGUCUUUUUAUCAUUAAUACCUUGCAUACAUUUUAUAUAUAUAUAUACAAAAUUAAUUGGUGAAGAAAACCCUAAAACUUCUUCAAAUUUAGAGUCCAGCUCUUCCCAAUUACCUUUCGGCUCAGUUAUUGAUGUUAGUGUUUUCCAUAUUGAUGUUACUUUUGUGUCAACCAUGGUAUUGGAAUGGCAGCUUUUUGUUUUGAAGUCUGCACCAUUGUUGCUUCUGAGAUUUUUUUCUCCAAGCCACUGACAACAUUCUACAGAUUUUGAUGCUGACACUUACUUGAUCUGACUAGACUGAACCAGACUGAAUUCCUUAUCAGAAAAGAUGAACCUUCCUUCUUCAAAUGUCUUAGAGAUUGAAAUAGCCAAAUGUUUCAGUUUUAAAACCAUGUUACCAACAACAACAACCAAGAUUGCAUAUGCCCAGGCAAUGACAAAUGAUUCAGCUGCCCUGAGGUAGUUAAAUAUCAGCAAUUAUAAGAUACAUUCCAGUUUUGGAUAUGUAAGAAUAUGUAAAAAGGUGCAUCUUGGAAACAUGAAAUACAGUACCAAACAAGUGUACUCUUUAAAAGUUGUCUUCUUUAUCUUAGAUCUGCGUAUUUCAAUACAGAAAACACAAAACAGAAAACCAUCAUUCUUAAACUGCAUCAUGCAAUUUAGCAACUAAUUAAUCAUAGUCUUAAAAUACACUAUAAUGGUUUGCAAGUUAGCUUUUUCUUCCCAAGUAGACCACAAGUCCCUCUCCUUCAGGAAUUUUACCUUUGUUU
rnacentral:lncRNA from 1 species